rnacentral:tRNA from 1 species
GCCGACGUAGCUCAGCCGGUAGAGCAACGGUUUCGUAAACCGUAGGUCGGGGGUUCGAAUCCCCCUGUCGGCUCCA